rnacentral:misc_RNA from 1 species
UGUGGGAGCGGGCUUGCCCGCGAUGGCGCAGUGUCAGUCACAUUGAAAUUGGCUGAUCCACCGCUAUCGCGGGCAAGCCCGCUCCCACA